UGGAUUUUUAGUGUGUUCGAUGCAGUU
rnacentral:piRNA from 1 species